rnacentral:rRNA from 1 species
AUACGUAGGGGGCGAGCGUUGUCCGGAUUUACUGGGCGUAAAGGGUGAGUAGGCGGUUAUUUGUGUCAGAUGUAAAAGGCUAUUGCUUAACCAUAGUUAGCAUUUGAAACUGUAUGACUUGAGUGCAGGCGAGGUAAGUGGAAUUCCUAGUGUAUCGGUGAAAUGCGUAGAUAUUAGGAGGAACACCAGUUGCGAAGUCGACUUACUGGACUGUAACUGACGCUGAGUCACGAAAGCGGGGGUAGCAAACAGGAUUAGAUACCCUGGUAGUCCACGCUGUAAACGAUGAGUGCUAGGUGUUGGCCAGCGAUGGUCAGGGCCGCAGUAAACACAUUAAGCACUCCGCCUGGGGAGUACGGUCGCAAGACUGAAACUCAAAGGAAUUGACGGGG